rnacentral:misc_RNA from 1 species
GAUGAAGAACGCAGCGAAAUGCGAUAAGUAGUGUGAAUUGCAGAAUUUAGUGAAUCAUCGAAUCUUUGAACGCACAUUGCGCCCUUUGGUAUUCCUUAGGGCAUGCCUGUUCGAGCGUCAUCUAUACCCUCAAGCACAGCUUGGUGAUGGGCGCCUGUCCCGCCCCCCACGGGGGCGCGGACUCGCCUCAAAUGCAUUGGCGGCCGGCGACCUGGCUUCGAGCGCAGCAGAAACGCGUACUCGGGGACCGGGCGCCCGCUCCCAGAAGCCAACCCACCCAGUUUGACCUCGGAUCAGGUAGGGAUACCCGCUGAACUUAAGCAUAUCAAUAAGCGGAGGA